rnacentral:rRNA from 1 species
GACGAACGCUGGCGGCGUGCUUAACACAUGCAAGUCGAACGGAAAGGCCCUGCUUUUGUGGGGUGCUCGAGUGGCGAACGGGUGAGUAACACGUGAGUAACCUGCCCUUGACUUUGGGAUAACUUCAGGAAACUGGGGCUAAUACCUGAUAGGAGCUCCUGCUGCAUGGUGGGGGUUGGAAAGUUUCGGCGGUUGGGGAUGGACUCGCGGCUUAUCAGCUUGUUGGUGGGGUAGUGGCUUACCAAGGCUUUGACGGGUAGCCGGCCUGAGAGGGUGACCGGGCACAUUGGGACUGAGAGACGGCCCAGACUCCUACGGGAGGGAGAAGUGGGGAAUAUUGCACAAUGGGCGGAAGCCGGAUGCAGCAACGCCGCGUGCGGGAUGACGGCCUACGGGUUGUAAACCGCUUUCGCCUGUGACGAAGCGUGAGUGACGGUAAUGGGUAAAGAAGCACCGGCUAAAUACGUG